rnacentral:rRNA from 1 species
GUCUGGUGCCAGCAGCCGCGGUAACUUCAGCUCCAAUAGCGUAUAUUAACAUUGUUGCAUUUAAAAAGCUCGUAGUUGAAUUUAUUUUUAUAAAUUUUAUAUAAGUAAUAUUAUUUUAUAAUAAAAUUAUUUAAAUUUAUUUUUUAUAAUUUUAUUAUAUAUUAAACGGUAAUAUUAUUUAUAAUUUAUAAAAAAAUUUUAUGUUAUAUUAUUUAGUAAUAGAUAAUAUAAUAUAAAUAUUACUGUGAAAAAAUUAGAGUGUUUAAAGCAUGUAUAUAAAAUUAAAAAAUAUAUUUUCUGAAUAUAUUUUUUUAGCUUGAAUAUAUUAGCAUGGAAUAAUAAUAUUAUAAUAUUUUUAUAUUAUUUUGUUGGUUAAAUAUAAAAAUAUAUGAUUAAUAGGGACAAUUGGGGGUAUUUAUAUUUCAUAGUCAGAGGUGAAAUUCUGGGAUUUAUGAAAGAUAAACAAAUGCGAAAGCAUUUACCAAAAAUGUUUUCAUUAAUCAAGAACGAAAGUUAGGGGAUCAAAGAGGCUUAGAUACCCUCGUAGUCUUAACUAUAAACUAUAACACCUAAAUAUUGGUAUAAUAAUUUAAAAUAUAGUAAUGAUAGUUAAUUUAUUAAUUAUUUAUUGCUGUAUUAAUAAUUUAUAUCAGUGUUUAUAAUGGGAAACCAAAGGCUUUGGUUUAUGGGGGGAGUACGGUCGCAA